CCCUGGUUAGCUUAGUUGGUAUAGCGCUCCACCUGUAAUGGAGAGGUCCCGGGUUCGAAACCCGGACCAGGCG
rfam:Ixodes scapularis strain Wikel colony gcontig_1107728593778, whole genome shotgun sequence.